rnacentral:rRNA from 1 species
CGUGAAGAACGGGUGACAACCCAGAACAGCAGCUAAGGUCCCAAAGCGUGUGCUAAGUGGUAAAGGAUGUGGAGUCGCAU